rnacentral:rRNA from 1 species
AAUGAACGCUGGCGGCAUGCCUAACACAUGCAAGUCGAACGACACCUUCGGGACUAGUGGCGCACGGGUGCGUAACGCGUGGGAACCUGCCCUUAUGCUCGGAAUACCUCCCCGAAAGGGGUGCUAACACAGGAUAAUUUCUGCGAACAAAACAUUUAUCGCCUUUGGCUGAGCACGGGUUGGACGAGCUAGUUGGUAGGGUAAAAGCCUACCAAGGCGACGAUCGAUAGCUGGUCUGAGAGGAUGAUCAGCGACACUGGGACUGAGACACGGCCGAGACUCCUACGGGAGGCAGCAGUGGGGAAUAUUGGACAAGCGGCGAAGGCCUGAUCCAGCACGGCCGCGUGAGUGAUGAAGGCCUUAGGGUUGAAAAGCACUUUUACCCGGGAUGGUAAUGACAGUACCGGGAGAAUAAGCUCCGGCUAACUCCGUG